rnacentral:rRNA from 1 species
AACAUCUAAGUACCCCGAGGAAAAGAAAUCAACCGAGAUUCCGAAAGUAGCGGCGAGCGAAAUUGGACUAGCCCUUAAGCUUUACACGCGUUAGACGAACGGUCUGGAAAGUCCGACGAUACAGGGUGAUAGUCCCGUAGUUGACGACGUGUGUUCAGUGAAAUCGAGUAGGGCGGGACACGUGAUAUCCUGUCUGAAUAUGGGGGGACCAUCCUCCAAGGCUAAAUACUACUGACUGACCGAUAGUGAACCAGUACCGUGAGGGAAAGGCGAAAAGAACCCCUGUGAGGGGAGUGAAAUAGAACCUGAAACCGUGUACGUACAAGCAGUAGGAGCAGGCUUUGUCCUGUGACUGCGUACCUUUUGUAUAAUGGGUCAGCGACUUAUAUUCAGUGGCAAGGUUAACCAUCUAGGGGAGCCGUAGGGAAACCGAGUCUUAACUGGGCGUUCAGUCUCUGGAUAUAGACCCGAAACCAGGUGAUCUAGCCAUGGGCAGGUUGAAGGUUGAGUAACAUCAACUGGAGGACCGAACCGACUAAUGUUGAAAAAUUAGCGGAUGACUUGUGGCUAGGGGUGAAAGGCCAAUCAAACCUGGAGAUAGCUGGUUCUCCCCGAAAGCUAUUUAGGUAGCGCCUCGGACGAAUACUACUGGGGGUAGAGCACUGUUAAGGCUAGGGGGUCAUCCCGACUUACCAACCCUUUGCAAACUCCGAAUACCAGUAAGUACUAUCCGGGAGACACACGGCGGGUGCUAACGUCCGUCGUGGAGAGGGAAACAACCCAGACCGCCAGCUAAGGUCCCAAAUUACUACUAAGUGGGAAACGAUGUGGGAAGGCUCAGACAGCCAGGAUGUUGGCUUAGAAGCAGCCAUCAUUUAAAGAAAGCGUAAUAGCUCACUGGUCGAGUCGGCCUGCGCGGAAGAUGUAACGGGGCUAAGUAGUAAACCGAAGCUGCGGCAAUACUCUUUGAGUAUUGGGUAGGGGAGCGUUCUGUAAGCGGUUGAAGGUGUGUGGUAACGCAUGCUGGACGUAUCAGAAGUGCGAAUGCUGACAUGAGUAACGAUAAAGGGGGUGAAAAACCUCCUCGCCGGAAGACCAAGGGUUCCUGUCCAACGUUAAUCGGGGCAGGGUAAGUCGACCCCUAAGGCGAGGCCGAAAGGCGUAGUCGAUGGGAAACGGGUUAAUAUUCCCGUACUUCUUACAAUUGCGAUGGGGGGACGGAGAAGGCUAGGUGGGCCUGGCGACGGUUGUCCAGGUUCAAGUGCGUAGGCUUAAGA